CCUGCGGGGUGGAUGCGGGUUGGAUGCGGGAGCACGUUUUUUUUGUAAUUUUUUUUUUUUAAACGUGCCCCACCAUCCCCAUCACCUGCCUGAUUCUAAAACAGCGGGAACGCAAACGUAGAAAUAAACGCAAGGAGCGGAGCACUUGAUGUAUUUAAGCCGUUAGCGGGUUUUUUUUUUAUUAUUUAUUUUUUUUAUUCCCCACCAUUCACGCGCUUUGUCUGUAACCCUAACCGCCGGGGUGACAGCGUUAGCUUACCUUCCACUGCUAUGACGGCCGGUAAGCUCCAUAAUAUCCACAGAAUAUCCAUUAUCGGUCACUUUGAAGGGGCCCGGGCAUUCACAUAAAAUAGGUCCAGAGAGCCAUUGACAGCGGAGGCAGCGAGCGGACCGGCUCCUUCACCUCCAGCGCAGCGACGCCUGAGAGCGGAGAGAACUCAAAUCUCAACCAAGUUUGGGCGAGACCAAAAAACCCACAGACGGAGGGGAGCGCGGCGCGGCGGGGAGACGCAGCCCCGCGUCGCAGCGAUGGGUUGACCCCGUCGGUUUGUUAAAGACGAACAACAAAAUGUGUGGUUGUUGUUGCGAUUAAUGGUGGAAGGUGUAAAAUAGGCGAUUUGUCAACGCACCUGCGCGCACACGGGAGCCGUCACCCCCUCCCCCGCCACUUCCACUCGCCCCGCUGUCAAUCAGAGGAGUCCGCACUGUCCUCACCCAGCGAAGAAGAAGUGUGGUGAGGACCAUGUGGGACUUUUUUUUUUUAAAAGAUGGAGACACUUGUCCCCGCUGCCUCGACGCCUCCACUCGGACAUGCUGGUUCUCCUGUGCUGGGACGAGGCUCGGCCGGGAGAGUGCGGGCUCCUCCGUGGAGCUGUCCCCGGUCAGAGAGGAGCCUCAGCGGCUGUAACAGGUGACGAGCACCGGGGAAACAGCCAAAACCGUCGACCAUCACAGAGCAACAGAUGGAAGUGCACACCAGGAUAUGACUACUAAGAGGAUUCCUCUUUCUUUGCCCGUGACUUUUUUUUUUUGGUUUUAUGUGGAGACAGACUCUUUCAUCGUGAACCAGCUCGACUGGCUUCCUGGAACUGGUGUCGGGUUGUCGGUUAAGCCCCUCUGAAACCCGCCACUACCCACACGGACCUGCUUGGCAGACUGAGAUCCCUGAUCACAAGUCAGCUGUAAAUAACAUUAACUUGAGUAACCAGGUGGGAUCAGAAAGUCCUCGUAGCGUCGUGAGUCUCUGAACUCUGACCUUUCACUCAGAAGUCUGAGGUAUGUGCCAGCUCGGUGUGUGUGAGUGGCUCAGUGUCAGGUUCACUCACCUGUAGUUCACUCUCAGAGGAGGCCGUGUGUGCUUGGUAUCGGCAGGAAGCUGUUAGGGUUUUAUUACCAGGGAUUAAAUGAUGAUAAAAGCACAGUAGAUAUUCUGUUACAUACAAAGAACUUGAUGUUGUUUCAUUUUUAUACUGAUAUGGACCUAUGUGUCUCCAAUAAAGCUAAAUAAUUAUAAUGCUAAUCUGAUAAAUGCUACUUUAUUAUGUUAGCAUUCAUAGCAUUACAACACUUUUCUGGUUUCGUGGACAUAUGUCUGGAUCAGGGGCUGGAUUUUUUUUUUUUAUUACUUUCCUUAACAUUAGGGAUAUAAGGCACUUUGUCACACUUUGAUCGUGAGAAAAAAUCAGGCACAUUUAAUAAAACUGAUAUCAAUGAGUGUGUGAAAUUUGGUGCAGCCUGAUUGAAUUUAAGGGGACUGCUGAUGUCUGUUCUCCACUGAGUACCAUUCUAGUUUUAUGUCAUUUUUGUACUGAUAUGGACCUAUGAAUAUGAAAUAAAGCUAUAAUUCAAGUGCAAA